GAUGAACGCUGGCGGCGUGCCUAAUACAUGCAAGUAGAACGCUGAAGGAGGAGCUUGCUCUUCUGGAUGAGUUGCGAACGGGUGAGUAACGCGUAGGUAACCUGCCUGGUAGCGGGGGAUAACUAUUGGAAACGAUAGCUAAUACCGCAUGACAACAGUUAUUGCAUGAUAACUGUUUAAAAGGGGCAACUGCUCCACUACCAGAUGGACCUGCGUUGUAUUAGCUAGUUGGUGAGGUAACGGCUCACCAAGGCGACGAUACAUAGCCGACCUGAGAGGGGGGUCGGCCACCCUGGGACUGGGACACGGCCCAGACUCCUGCGGGAAGCAGCAGUAGGGUAUCUUCGGCAAUGGACGGAAGUCUGACCGAACAACGCCGCGUGAGUGGAGGAGGUUCUCGGAUCGUAAAGCUCUGUUGUAAGAGGAGAACGAGUGUGGGAGUGGAAAGUUCACACUGUGACGGUAUCUUAACAGAAAGCGACGGCUAACUACGUG
rnacentral:rRNA from 1 species